rnacentral:rRNA from 1 species
AUGCAAGUCGAACGGGAAUCUUCGGAUUCUAGUGGCGGACGGGUGAGUAACGCGUAAGAAUCUAACUUCAGGACGGGGACAACAGUUGGAAACGACUGCUAAUACCCGAUGUGCCGAAAGGUGAAACCUAAUUGGCCUGAAGAAGAGCUUGCGUCUGAUUAGCUAGUUGGUGGGGUAAGAGCCUACCAAGGCGACGAUCAGUAGCUGGUCUGAGAGGAUGAGCAGCCACACUGGGACUGAGACACGGCCCAGACUCCUACGGGAGGCAGCAGUGGGGAAUUUUCCGCAAUGGGCGAAAGCCUGACGGAGCAACGCCGCGUGAGGGAGGAAGGUCUUUGGAUUGUAAACCUCUUUUCUCAAGGAAGAAGUUCUGACGGUACUUGAGGAAUCAGCCUCGGCUAACUCCGUGCCAGCAGCCGCGGUAAUACGGGGGAGGCAAGCGUUAUCCGGAAUUAUUGGGCGUAAAGCGUCCGCAGGUGGUCAGCCAAGUCUGCCGUCAAAUCAGGUUGCUUAACGACCUAAAGGCGGUGGAAACUGGCAGACUAGAGAGCAGUAGGGGUAGCAGGAAUUCCCAGUGUAGCGGUGAAAUGCGUAGAGAUUGGGAAGAACAUCGGUGGCGAAAGCGUGCUACUGGGCUGUAUCUGACACUCAGGGACGAAAGCUAGGGGAGCGAAAGGGAUUAGAUACCCCUGUAGUCCUAGCCGUAAACGAUGGAUACUAGGCGUGGCUUGUAUCGA